ensembl:lncRNA
GCCCACCUUACUCUAUCAAAACUGGUCCCAAGAGAUAAAAACCUCCCACUGUUUUGAUCAGAUACUUCUUCUGAUUGGCAGAUAAGAAUUGGAAUGAAGCAGGGCUGAGGGGGUCACCUGGUCUGCAGCAGCUUCCCAGAAGCACACGUGACAACAAAGCCAGACCCAAAGCAAGCUGAGGUCAACAAUUCAUGGCUGAUCUCCCUUGAUUUUGCCUGGCUCUGACAAACAUCCUACAGAUCCUUGCUCCAUGAAUAAUCUCCUCGAAGAAAAUAUCCACAAGCAGACGAACGGACAUCUUUAGGUAGAUUGUUCCUACAUUAGGGCUUCACACAGUGAAGCCUUUGGUUGGCACAGGACUCCCCAUCUCCAUACAGCUCCCACCUCUGGGCCAUUCUCCCUCUUGGUACUGGAUCUUUAAGGUCAUUACUUGGUCCCACUGCUUCAUUAAAUUCUACUUAAAGUGAUUUAAUUCUGGUUUUUUGUUGUUG